AAGAUUUUAAGUUAAUGAAACUAUUAAUUUUCAAAAUUAAAUUUAAAAUAUAAUUUUAAAUCUUA
rnacentral:tRNA from 1 species